rnacentral:rRNA from 1 species
UGCGCAGGCGGUUAUGUAAGACAGAGGUGAAAUCCCCGGGCUCAACCUGGGAACUGCCUUUGUGACUGCAUAGCUAGAGUACGGCAGAGGGGGAUGGAAUUCCGCGUGUAGCAGUGAAAUUCGUAGAUAUUCGGAAGAACACCAGUGGCGAAGGCGACUCACUGGCCCGUUACUGACGCUGAGGCGCGAAAGCGUGGGGAGCAAACAGGAUUAGAUACCCUGGUAGUCCACGCUGUAAACGAUGAGUGCUAGUUGUCGGCAUGCAUGCAUGUCGGUGACGCAGCUAACGCAUUAAGCACUCCGCCUGGGGAGUACGGUCGCAAGAUUAAA